rfam:Schistosoma haematobium scaffold442_53, whole genome shotgun sequence.
UUCCAGCUGACAUGUCUUAAAUAGGACGAAACGCGCGUCCUGGAU